rnacentral:rRNA from 1 species
UACGUAGGCAGCGAGCGUUGUUCGGAAUUACUGGGCGUAAAGAGUGUGUAGGCGGUGUUCCCAGUCUGUUGUGAAAUCUCCCGGCUUAACUGGGAGGGUGCAGCGGAAACUAGAAUGCUAGAGGGUGGGAGAGGUAAGCGGAAUUCCUGGUGUAGCGGUGAAAUGCGUAGAUAUCAGGAGGAACACCUGUGGCGAAGGCGGCUCUCUGGGACGGUACUGACGCUGAGACGCGAAAAGCGUGGGGAGCGAACAGG